UUGCCCACUAGCAGAAGGCAGCACUGAUGGAGAGGCCACGUGCAUGGUGGGAACCACUAAGAAUGGUGGCUUGGCUCCCAGCAUCUCCGUCUGUUCAGGAAUCACAGGCUGGCAUUUUGAUUACCUAACAUGGAUUGAUAGUAGCUUCAAGCACAUAUCUGUGCCAACCUGGAUAUUGUCCCUAAAAUGGGUCUGGGCUGGUCAUUGUCAUCCUUCUUGUCCUCCAAGAAGCAGAAGCAAGUGUGCAUGUGGUUGAUUUGCGGCAUUGUCUGUGGAGAACACAGGAGAGGGAGCAGGAGGAGGUGUGGGAGGCUUCACACUGCCCAGCAGACCUGACACCUGGAAAGGUGAAAGAGAAGGAAGGGACAGUCUCAUUCAGGCUGAUGAGAAAUACCCAGGACAAAGUUUCCCACCGAGGAGCUUCCCUGAUGGACAGGGAGAAUGGCCUGGAGGUCUUCACCAGUGGGGUAAACCCAAAGGCAUUGGGGAUUCAAUCAUCUGCUGGAGAUUCAGUCAUCUCUGCUCCAUAAGAAAUUCCUACCUGUGACCACCACACCAGUAUGAUCUUCCUUAUUCUGGCCCAACUCUGGUCAUUCCCCUAUCUCAAAGUCUGCAGCAGCUCCUUGUUACCUACAGAAUAAUGUUCAGCAUGUAUUGAAGGCUUCUGAAACCUUGACAUGGGAUUUAUUUACAUUAUCUGCUUUUUAGACCUCCUUCUGUUUCCUGCUGUCCAGCCAGAGAACUUUACACCAUCCCCCAAGUUCCAGUGCAGGUGUGCCUCUGAGCUUGUGUUCCAGCUGGUCUUGCACCACUAUCCUCUCCUCUGCCUCUCAAAAUGCUACUCAUCUUUCCACUUCCACGCAGACUCCUCUGAAGCAUCUUUCUUGAGCCAUCUAUUCAGCAUUUAUAACCUUUCCUUCUGCCCAAACCUAACAUGGUGUUUUGUUUUGUGUCUUUUCUUCAAAGAUCUAGGGGAAAGGAACUAUAUUUCUAGGACCUUUUUGGGUUCUUGUGCCUAGUCAUCAUAAUUUGAUAAACUUUGCUGAAAAGAAAUAAACCCAAAUGCAGGCAAGGACAUUUGUUUUUCAGGAGUGGAUUGGGGAACAAAAGUGAAGUUAUCUAAGCAAUCUCAAAGACAUGUCUGUACAUAUGUCCACUGACUCCUCUGGGCCUGUCCUGAAGUCCUGAAGAGAUUAAGGAUCCCCUUUGCUGGAACUUGAAGCACAUCAUGUCUACAAAAGUUAAGAGCCAGGGGGCCAGGAGGCAAAUAUAACUUCCUAUUUAUACAGCAAAUGAAAUCUGUGUUUCCCUAUGUAAUUAAUUCUUCCUUCUCUUUCUUCCUUUUAUCUAGGAUUCUCCCACCUGGUUCCUAGGUGAGGACUAGUUGCCAAGGUUCCUCCUGCCUCUUUGUGUUGCCUUUAGGUCCUCAUUACCCAGAAGAGGGCCUGGUAGAGAGUGAACAGGCACAGUGAGCAAGGAAGUGGGCAUUCCCUCAGAAGCAGAGGUCUCAUCAGCAGAAGGUAAUUGCCAAGAAAUCACAGAGAAAAUUAUAGAGAGCAGAAACAUAGCAGAAGUUGAAGAGACAGAGGAAAAUAUGAAGGACAAAACCAGAGGGAAGACUUUUGGCUUUGAAACAGUCAGUUGGAUUUGACUGUUGGUGGCCCCACAGUAGAAAAAAAAAUCCUAAUUUGAUUCAAGUUAACAAGUCUUUCUCUUGUGCUCAUUUUUACAAAGGGCCAUUCUCAUUUCUAUAGCUGAGAAAAAAAGAAUAUAAUUAAUUUCUGGCUGCAAAGUAUACAUAAUAUACUUGAGAACACAUGUAAAAGUACACAUUAAUGAGCUUAAUUAUAAGAUGGUAGAUAGAAUAUGCAUUUGAGAUUCUUUACCCCUUCCAUUGAAUUUUCCCAUAACUCCUGGUGGCUUAACUUGCAAACUAUAUCCCAAAUCUGUCAAUUUCUCCCCUCUUCACUACACAAUUUUAGUCCAAACCUCACUUGUUACCCUGGACCUGAAACAACCUCCUACCUGGUCUAUCUCACUCUAAUUUUGUACCCUCAUGGUCCGUGGUCCAAAAAUACACAAAUCAUAUCUUGUCUUCUCCCUAAAACCCUCUAUGACUUCUGGAGGCACUCAGGGUAGAGUUGAAGCCCUUCUGUGAUAGAGUGCCAGCCUACUUUUCAGUCCCUUCUCCACCAGGCAUCCCCUGCUCACCACCCUUUGUCACACCACACUCCCUUCUGUCCCUGGAAACUGCCAUGCAUAUCCCUCCUUAGGACCUUCUGCCAGGGCCACUUUGCACCCUGUCUUUGCAUGGCUGGCUCCUCCUCUUCUGUCAGGUCUCAGCUGAGAUGUUAUCUCCUUACAGGAACCCUACCAGACCUACAAUCAAAGCUGUCAAUCCCCCUCACCCACUCUCUCAUGUCACACCAUUAGAGACCUUAACAUCACUUAGUAGCAUCUAAAAUAACCUUUUACUGUGUGUGUUUAUUGCCUGCCUUUCCCCCAGAAUAUGGAAGCUCCUUGAGAGCAGAGAUCAUACUUGUCUUUUCCAUUACUCUAUUUCCAGUGCCCAGUCCAAUACCUUGUGUGUGAUCAAUUCUUGUUAAAUAGUUGUUAAAUGAAUGAAUGAAUGAAAUUCUGAGCUAUUGGAAGACAAAUAAAGAAGACUGUAACUCAGAGUAGUUGGGGAAAGUCCUCAGAGGAAGGAAGAUUAGUUAGCUGUGAAGAAUUGUGUGGGGAGCAGACUUAGAGACAGGAAGUUGCCAAAGGCAGAAGCCUGACCUGGCUGGUGUGGAAGGUACAGAGGCAAAGCUGGGACAAAUGCCAUAUCAGGCAAAGGAAAGCCAUCACACUGCCAAAUAGUAAUAAGUAUUUUGCCUCAGGUACCAAAACGUUGAAAUUGCACAAGACACCCCCAAAACUAGGAUGUCUAUUAUCAUCUUAUUCCAAUUUCAACAAAUGUGGGACAAAUUAUAGUGCUUGAAUUGUGCACAUAAUGAGAAAAAAAUUAGUAAGCCCCAUAUAGUUCAUAUUUAUAUUGGUGAUAGUAAUUUUAUUUUAGUUUUGGCUCCUCUGUCUCUCACAAAGUGGUUCACCGUUUUGAUAGAGCAGCUUCCCAAGUAAUUCCAUCUAGGAAUCAUUUGCAUUUAUGUGACUUUUUAUAUUCUCUCGGGAAGGGCCCUCAUAGACUAUGCAUUUCUUUUUCUUGAAUGAAAUAAUAUAUAUGAAAGUGCUUUGCAAACCAUCAGGCAUGUCCGAAAUGGAGGAUGGAAUGAUUAUUACCUCUGAAGCUCUUAAGGGACAUGAGCUAUUGGAAGCACUAGCCCCAUAGCCUGGGUUUUCUUCUUUUUUUAUUGCAAUAAGAUGCACUAUUUUAUUAUACCAGAGAUUAUUUGCUGCUACAGUCAGGAAGCAAACUUGUUGUCUGUACAUCGCCUGGGUCCUCACAUUAAGAAGAUGAACAAAACCUAAGUGUUUCUGAGAGGAACCUUAAAUGAACUGUCAAUCAUAUAGCAUAUUGUUUGCCCAGAAGAAAAAAAAAUAAUUAAAAUCCUGCUUAUUUAAAAGGCAGUUAUUCCUCACUUUCUCCACUUGACUCUUUUCUUCUUGGCAUGGAAGGUUUCUAUGCAGUAUCAAGACCAAGAGCAAUAUCUGGGAGCCCCUAAGACUGCAGUGGCCAAUGGCAGAGAUUGGGAGACUUCAUUCAGUUCUGUGUGUUAAUUAACAGUGAAAUGCUACCAUUACAGAUGUUAAGGAACGUACUCCAAACAUGACAAUAUUUUCCAAAAUGGGAUCCAUCUCUUUCUGUGUUGUCCAUAAAUAGCUUAAUCAUGGUUCCUGAACAUAAUAUUGUUAUGGUUGCAUUGAUACUUUCUGUGCAAUCAAAUAUUUUUCAAUGUCCAUUUAUAGACAUCACAGGAAAAACAAAUUCUAGGAGAUAACCCAGAUUCCUGGUUCCAUCUCCAGGAAAAAGUAAGAUUCAGCUUACAUUUAGGAGGCAAACAAUGGAUGGACAACAAGGAGUGGAGUGGUUGUGAGUUCUGGAUAGAAUUCCAGUGGAAUGAGCUACACUGGAUGAGCAGGGUGUAGCUCAAUUCCAUGAGGGUCCACCUGAAGAGGGACCUAGAUGAGAGUUUUUCAGUGAAGAAAGCCAAAACACAUCUUUUUGCAUGAAGAAGUCAAUGGAAUGUAGGAGCAAACUUCUAAGAGCACAAGGAAGUCAGAAUGCUACCUGGUUUAAGAAUGGACUGGGAUUAAAAUAUAUCCAAUGGGCCAGAUAAACCUGGACUUUGAAAGCAACAUAAUAACAACUAAUAUAUCAUGUGCUUCCUUAUGUAACAGUUAUACUAAGCAUUUUCAUGAAUUAUUUUGCAUUGUCUCAUUAAUCCUUGCAGCUUCACAAAAUAAGAACUAAGCUUAUUAUUUUAUAGCUGCAAGAACAAAGGUUUAGGAAAUCUAAAGAUGGUGAAGUGGUGGAUCCAGGAUCCAAACAUGCCUGUUUGACUCCAACACUCACUAUAUAUGUAUUUCUCAGGACCUAAUAUGGUUUGUGAUAUACUUGUGUAUUGAAUUUGAGAAACACAGAGAAGCACAUACAAAGAAGUUAAAAUUAACUCUAAUUUUACCAUGUGAAAAUAAUAUAACAUAACUACCAUUCCUAAAGGGAAUUGUUGUAACACUGUAGUUUCUCCAGUUCCUAUAUAUGUGUAGUUAUUAGUUUAGUGUGCAUAUCUCUUUUCUUAAUGUAGAUCAUCUUAUAGUGUUCUGCAACUUUUUAUAUUAAAAAUAGAUUAUAGCAAGUCCUUU